rnacentral:rRNA from 1 species
AUUGAACGCUGGCGGCAGGCCUAACACAUGCAAGUCGAGCGAGCGGCGGACGGGUGAGUAAUGUCUGGGAAACUGCCCGAUGGAGGGGGAUAACUACUGGAAACGGUAGCUAAUACCGCAUACCAUCGGAUGUGCCCAGAUGGGAUUAGCUAGUAGGUGGGGUAACGGCUCACCUAGGCGACGAUCCCUAGCUGGUCUGAGAGGAUGACCAGCAACACUGGAACUGAGACACGGCCCAGAGUCCUACGGGAGGCAGCAGUGGGGAAUAUUGCAAAAUGGGCGCAAGCCUGAUGCAGCCAUGCCGCGUGUAUGAAGAAGGCCCGAGGGUUGUAAAGUACUUUCAGGCGGGAGGCGUGACCGACAGAAGAAGCACCGGCUAACUCCGUGCCAGCAGCCGCGGUAAUAC